rnacentral:rRNA from 1 species
ACACCGGCAGCCCAAGUGGUGGCCAUUUUUAUUGGGCCUAAAGCGUUCGUAGCCGGCCUGAUAAGUCUCUGGUGAAAUCCCGCAGCUUAACUGUGGGAAUUGCUGGAGAUACUAUCAGGCUUGAGGUCGGGAGAGGUUAGAGGUACUCCCAGGGUAGGGGUGAAAUCCUAUAAUCCUGGGAGGACCACCUGUGGCGAAGGCGUCUAACUGGAACGAACCUGACGGUGAGUAACGAAAGCCAGGGGCGCGAACCGGAUUAGAUACCCGGGUAGUCCUGGCCGUAAACGAUGUGGACUUGGUGUUGGGAUGGCUUCGAGCUGCCCCAGUGCCGAAGGGAAGCUGUUAAGUCCACCGCCUGGGAAGUACGGCCGCAAGGCUGAAACUUAAAGGAAUUGGCGGGG